rnacentral:rRNA from 1 species
GUCUGCAACCCGACUACAUGAAGCUGGAAUCGCUAGUAAUCGCAGGUCAGCAUACUGCGGUGAAUACGUUCCCGGGUCUUGUACACACCGCCCGUCACACCAUGGGAGCCGGAAAUGCCCGAAGUCAGUGACCUAACCGAAAGGGAGGAGCUGCCGAAGGUGGAGCCGGUAACUGGGGUGAAGUCGUAACAAGGUACC